rnacentral:rRNA from 1 species
UACGUAGGUGACCAGCGUUGUCCGGAUUUACUGGGCGUAAAGAGCGCGCAGGCGGUCGUUCAAGUCGAGUGUGAAAGCCCCCGGCUCAACUGGGGAGGGUCAUUCGAUACUGAUCGACUCGAAGGCAGGAGAGGGAAGUGGAAUUCCCGGUGUAGUGGUGAAAUGCGUAGAUAUCGGGAGGAACACCAGUGGCGAAGGCGACUACCUGGCCUGUUCUUGACGCUGAGGCGCGAAAGCUAGGGUAGCAAACGGG